AACAAGUUCCGACUUCCGGCGUUACAGUUGUCAAAAAAAACUAUGAGACUUGGCAUAACUUUUGAAAAUUUAGCUGGCCGCCCUGCGUAUCCGGUUCUCUUUUUUGGCUGGCGUUCAGGACGUUCGGUGGAUCAAAUUCCACAUUAUAAAAAUUGUAAUUAUAAUGGUGAUGAACGCAAAAAAAACUUCACCACUUUAGUAAAAAAAUUAAAGAAAGUGGUGAUGUGCGUAAAUCUUUACGUCCUGUGGAGCGGAUUGAGUUUCUUUUCUUCACCACCAUCAGUCCACCCGUCAGUCGACGUGACCAAACAAAUUUUCCAGUGUCUCAUUUUUCCCAUUCGGAUAAAGACGAAUCUAAAAAUUACCUGAUUAUAUUAAUUCUUGGAAGUCUCAUGCUAGGAACACAAUUGGAGCGAACGACGAAUUUUUUCGCGGCGUAUGUUCGUCGUCAAAAAUAAAACACAUAUGUGUAUAUGGAAGUGCACACAAUCACGGCACCGGCGAAAAUUUCGUCGGUCGCCGCGAACUCAAUUAGCUUUAUUUCUAUUUCAUACGCCGGCGACCGGCGAACAAAAUAGUACAAGGUGGCCAUACUUGUACGAAUUUUAUGUGUUUUAGUAAAUAAAGUUACUUUUUACUUUAAAAUUUGUUAUGGUCACUCUACUAUCUGUUACUCGUAUAAAAAAAACAUAAUUAAUUUGUUUAUUUAUUUGUGUACUUGCGCCUGAGUGAAGAUGGAUAUCAGUGAAUUUAUAAUAGAGAAGAUGGACAUAAGUGAAAUUAUAAUAGAGAACGUAAAGAAUUAUGUGUUCUUGUAUAAUUCAUUGUAGUCAACAAAUGAGCAAAAAGUAAACAACUUCAUCAGCUGUUUUAUAAUUUCGUCGGUAUUGUGUUCCAUACGACGAAUUUUCGCGGCUCAUUUUGUCGCUGCGUAGGGCGAAAUUCGUCGUUCGCUCCAAUUGUGUUCCUAGCAUCAUGCGUAAGUAUGUGUGUGUGUGUGCAGGCACGCUGCAUCCAUUGAAAAACUCUAUUCACACACACAUGCACGAAGUAGCCGCAGUCGUGUAAACGUACAUUAAGGGUGCGCAACGCCGUUAAUUUCCCUACACCGAUCAUUCAUGCCUUUCGUAUGAAUCCCCACGUGAUGUUGAUGUUGUGUAAUGCGGCAGCUCAUUCAACCAUGAAAAUUUUCCAAUCGGACAAACUAAUGAAAGAGAAAUUUGGCGGACUGCCCGGCAACCAUCUCUCGUGAAUCUCUUUGGACAAUUGGAAAACGCAGACCGUGGAAACAUCUAUUUGUUUACAAUGGUAACUUCGCUCACAAAUUUUCAACAUACCCCGAAAUGCAUGAAAGGGGUUGAUUUCUACCCGUUGGACGACGGUGCUAAAUGCAACAUCUUGUGCAGGUAACCGGCUAUGUUUGUGUGUCGAAAAUGCAUAAAACAAAUAAAGUGAAAGUGAGAACUAUUUAAAAUUAGCAGUGCGUCUGCCUGAAGCUGUUUUUAUACCCUCCACCUUGGAAAGGAGGGUAUAUUAACUUUGUCAUAUUAACUUUGUCUGUCUGUCUGUUGAAAUCACGAUACAUUUGCCACGAUACAUUAUUUGACGUAGAGCGCCAAAAUUUAGCAGCUAUUUGUAUUGUGUCUAGGAUGGUUGGUAUUGAAAAUGAGAUAUAUCGGUCCACGUUCUGGUAUAGUCCCCAUAUAACGGUACCUCCUGAUAUUCGGUAUUUUAAUUUUUUUGCCACAUUUUUUCACGGAUUUGUCUGAAAAUUGGUACUUGAAGGUCAUAAUAGGUCCCUGUGCUUGUGGCAAAACAUUGCAUGUAUGGGUCCACGUUUUGGUAUAGCCCCCAUAUAAAGGUACCUCCCGAUAUUCGGUAUUUUAAUUUUUUUGCCACAUUUUUUCACUGAUUUGUCUAAAAAUUGGUAUUUGUUGGUCAUAAUGGGUUCCAGCUCCGGUGGCGAAACAUUGCAUGUAUGGGUCCAUGAUUUGGUAUAGCCCCCAUAUAACGGUACCUCCCAAUAUUCGGUAUUUUGAUGGUUUUUGGUAUUUGUGGGUCAUAAUGGGUUCUAGUUCGUGUGGCGGGUCAUUGUAAUUAUAGGUCCACGUUUUGAUAUAGUCCCCAUAUAACGGUACCUCCCGAUAUUCAUUAUUUUGAUGAUUUAUGCCACAUUUUUUCAAGAAUUUCUCUAAAAAUUUGUAGUUGUAGAUCAUAAUGGGUCCCAGUUUGUGUGGCGAGUCAUUGUAAUUAUAGGACCACGUUUUGGUAUAGCCCCCAUAUAACGGUACCUCCCGAUAUUCGGUAAUUUGAUGAUUUUUGCCACAUUUUUUUUCACGGAUUUGUCGGAAAAUUGGUAUUUAUAGGUCAUAAUGGGUUCUAGCUACUUUGGCGAAACAUUCUAUGUGUAGGUCCACGAUUUGGUCUAGCCCCCAUAUAACGGUACCUCCCGAUAUUCGGCAUUUUAAUGGUUUUUGCCACAUUUCUUCUAAUGUUUCCUUUACCCUAAGGUGGAGGGUAUUAAAAGUUAGGCCCGGCCGAACUUAAUGUUUUUUUGUGAACAUAAAUUGCCGGGGAAUAAAAAUGAAGAGAUUCUGUGCGGAUUGAUAGAUUGUCAAGAAACGCAAAUAGGACAAUUAAAUGGAAUUCCAAUAACUGAUUGGCGUAGUUGCAGAACUUCGUCGAAAAAAGGUUGUUUUAGAAUAGUGUACUACAAGCGUACGAAAAGUACUUUGUUUGGUAUUGGAAGAAAAUAAAAGACAUAUAAGACUUUCUGAUGGAAAGAAGCAAAAAUGAUCCCAAUUAUUCUUUCCCAGAACUCAUGGUAGAAAAAUACAGGUAACAGCAAGUGUUGUUGUACAACAAACGCAACAACAACCACAUACAAAUUUGUUUUUGUCUAUUGUUUUAUGUCUAAAAAUGUAAACAAGACAAUUAAUUUUCAUUAAAUUAUUUGAAAUUCAAAAAUGCUCAUUUUUGGAAUGUGGAUUUCUGAAUUAAAAAUGGAGAACGAAUACUCGAAAAAAGUUUAAUUGUAAUGCUUUAAUACAUUUGCCUUGAAUGUGCAGAAUUUCGGUAUAAAUAUGGAAACAAAUCCCAUACACCGCCGUUAGCGUUUAAUAAGAUCUAAUAUCGUUUAUAUCCAAUUAUUGAGAAAAAUAUUUCACAUUGCACAACAGUGAAAAUUUGUAUCAAAAAAGCUAAAAUUACUAACACAGGUUUAUGGAAUGCUAUUUUACUAUGCAAUUUUGAACUUUAAAUUGGAACAAUGCAAAAGAGCAAGAAAAAUCUUUUUCGCAAAUUUUAAAACCUUGCUGAAAAGUCUUGAGUUCGGGUGUACAAAAUACUUUGUACAUACUUUUGAGUGCGGUUGAGGCGCUGGGAAAAUCUAGCAAUAAACAAUAAAUAUUCUAAAAUUACAUGUUUCCCAGCCGCCAUAAAAUACCACAUGUGAACAAUUCGGUGAUCUUGUGUGCUGACGCAUACGAUAAUGUGUGAGAUAAUAAAGGUUAUGACCCACACGCACAGAUAUCAAUGCGCUCAGUAGAUGCACAAGACCACUUGAAUGAGAUGUCAAGCAGCCCUGCAAUGUUCUCUAUUCAAUAUUAGAAUAGAUAAGAACAAUUUUGUGGCUGCGACUAGGUUAAGAUAGAUUAGUUUCAGUAGUAUGUAAGAAACAUAUUUUAGAAAUAAAAUCAGAAUUGAAUCAACAGCCAAACCAUUCGGCU